AAGUGAUGACGUGGUAGACGGAGU
rnacentral:miRNA from 1 species